GGGCCCGCACAAGCGGUGGAGUAUGUGGUUUAAUUCGAUGCAACGCGAAGAACCUUACCAGGGUUUGACAUCCUGCGAAUCUCUUGGAAACGAGAGAGUCGCUUCGGGAACGCAGUGACAGGUGGUGCAUGGCUGUCGUCAGCUCGUGUCGUGAGAUGUUGGGUUAAGUCCCGCAACGAGCGCAACCCACGUCUGUUUAGCUUGCCAUGCAUUUUGAGUUGGCACUCUAGCGAGACCGCCGGUGAUAAACCGGAGAAGGUGUGGAUGACGUCAAGUCAUCAUGCCCCUUACAUCUGGGCUACACACGUACUACAAUGCUACGGACAAAGGGCAGCAAACUCGCGAGAGCUAGCAAAUCCCAUAAACGUGGCUC
rnacentral:rRNA from 1 species